UACGUAGGUCCCGAGUGUUGUCCGGAAUUAUUGGGCGUAAAGGGUACGCAGGCGGUUUAAUAAGUCGAAUGUUAAAGAUCGGGGCUCAACCCCGUAAAGCAUUGGAAACUGAUAAACUUGAGUAGUGGAGAGGAAAGUGGAAUUCCUAGUGUAGUGGUGAAAUACGUAGAUAUUAGGAGGAAUACCAGUAGCGAAGGCGACUUACUGGGCUCAUUCUGACGCUGAGGAACGAAAGCGUGGGUAGCAAACAGG
rnacentral:rRNA from 1 species